rnacentral:rRNA from 1 species
AACGUAGGUGGCGAGCGUUAUCCGGAUUCAUUGGGCGUAAAGAGCUUGUAGGUGGCGGCGUAAGUUGGACGUGAAAUCGCUCGGCUCAACCGGGCGGGGUCGUUCAAUACUGCGCGGCUGGAGGAGGUCAGAGGGAAGUGGAAUUCCUGGUGUAGCAGUGAAAUGCGUAGAUAUCGGGAGGAACACCAGUGGCGAAGGCGACUACCUGCCUGUUCUUGACGCUGAGGCGCGAAGGCUGAGGGGAGCAAACGGGG